UUCUGGUUGAUCCCGCCGGACCUGACUGCUAUCGGAUUGAUACUAAGCCAUGCGAGUCAUUGUAGCAAUACAAGGCAGACGGCUCAGUAACGCGUAGUCAAUCUACCCUAUGGACGGGAAUAACCUCGGGAAACUGAGAAUAAUGCCCGAUAGAACAUUAUACCUGGAACGGUUUAUGUUUCGAAUGAUUUAUCGCCGUAGGAUGGGACUGCGGCCCAUCAGUUUGUUGGUGAGGUAAUGGCCCACCAAGACUAUUACAGGUACGGGCUCUGAGAGGAGUAGCCCGGAGAUGGGUACUGAGACACGGACCCAGGCCCUAUGGGGCGCAGCAGGCGAGAAAACUUUGCAAUGUGCGAAAGCACGACAAGGUUAAUCCGAGUGGUUUCUGCUAAAGAAACCUUUUGCUAGUCCUAGAAACACUAGUGAAUAAGGGGUGGGCAAGUUCUGGUGUCAGCCGCCGCGGUAAAACCAGCACCUCAAGUGGUCAGGAUGAUUAUUGGGCCUAAAGCAUCCGUAGCUCGUUUUGUAAGUUUUCGGUUAAAUCCAUACGCUUAACGUAUGGGCUGCCGGGAAUACUGCAUAACUAGGAAGUGGGAGAGGUAGACGGUACUCGGUAGGAAGGGGUAAAAUCCUUUGAUCUAUUGAUGACCACCUGUGGCGAAGGCGGUCUACCAGAACACGUUCGACGGUGAGGGAUGAAAGCUGGGGGAGCAAACCGGAUUAGAUACCCGGGUAGUCCCAGCUGUAAACUAUGCAAACUCAGUGAUGCAUUGGCUUGUGGCCAAUGCAGUGCUGCAGGGAAGCCGUUAAGUUUGCCGCCUGGGAAGUACGUACGCAAGUAUGAAACUUAAAGGAAUUGGCGGG
rnacentral:rRNA from 1 species